rnacentral:ribozyme from 1 species
AGCAAUACCUCACUGAUACGGGGGCGGAUCCGAAACCUCUAGAAUGCUAACAUAUACUCUCGACCCCCUACUUAAACUCAAUACGUCCCCGUCGUACAGAACGGUAACAUGUCCAACCCAAACCCUACGCCAUGGAUAGAUGGGUUGCAUGGCUAGAUCUCUUUCA